rnacentral:lncRNA from 1 species
UUUUUUCUUCUUGAGGAAAUAAACCAAAAUGCUAAAAUAAAUGAGUAGCAAAUUAAGUUUGGAAGUUUUAAAUACAUGUGUAAUCAGGAAUACAUGCUCAAAUUGUCAUCUUUAAGUAUGAUGGAGAAUUGAUGGUGCUUCAUUUUCAAAGCAUGCUUUUUCACAUUAAUAUUCUGCACUCUGCAGUUAUUAUACAAUUGCUAGCAGGGCCAUUGUGCAUCUUUUGAAAUUGAAUAUAUUCUUAUGUACUUAAGAUCUGUUCAGUACACUCCAGAGAUUGCCUUGGAUCCUGUCUCUGAAGAUGUAAACAUAGGAGAACAGACUAGUAAUCAUUUUAUUUUCUGAAUGUGUUUGAAAUACAUAAGCACAGAAUAAGAGUCUGGAUUUUCUCAUUCCCAACCAUGUUGCUUACACCUCAUUCUUCAAGCAGUCGCC